GAUGAAGAACGCAGCGAAAUGCGAUAAGUAAUGUGAAUUGCAGAAUUCAGUGAAUCAUCGAAUCUUUGAACGCACAUUGCGCCCGCCAGUAUUCUGGCGGGCAUGCCUGUUCGAGCGUCAUUUCAACCGUCAAGCCCCAGGCUUGUGUUGGGGACCUGCGGCUGCCGCAGGCCCUGAAAACCAGUGGCGGGCUCGCUGUCACACCGGGCGUAGUAGAUUUUAUCUCGCUCAGGGCGUGCUGCGGGUCCCGGCCGUUAAAAGCCUUUUUUUACCCAAGGUUGACCUCGGAUCAGGUAGGAAGACCCGCUGAACUUAAGCAUAUCAAUAAGCGGAGGA
rnacentral:misc_RNA from 1 species